rnacentral:rRNA from 1 species
GACGGAGGGUGCAAGCGUUGCUCGGAAUCAUUGGGCGUAAAGGGUGCGUAGGCGGCUUCUUAAGUCUGGCGUGAAAGCCCAGGCUUAGCCUUGGAAGUGCGCCAGAAACUGGGAGGCUAGAGUGCCGGAGGGGAGAGUGGAAUUCCUGGUGUAGCGGUGAAAUGCGUAGAUAUCAGGAGGAAUACCGGUGGCGAAAGCGACUCGUCUGGACGGUAACUGACGCUGAGGCACGAAAGCGUGGGGAGCAAACAGG